GACGUAGGAUGCAAGCGUUGUCCGGAUUUAUUGGGCGUAAAGAGUUCGUAGGCGGUUCGUUAAGUCUGAUGUUAAAGACUGGGGCUCAACCCCGGGAGUGCAUUGGAUACUGGCGGACUGGAGUGUGGUAGAGGCUAGUGGAAUUCCCAGUGUAGCGGUGAAAUGCGUAGAUAUCAGGAGGAACACCGGUGGCGAAGGCGGGUCUCUGGGCCGAUACUGACGCUGAGGAGCGAAAGCGUGGGGAGCAAACAGG
rnacentral:rRNA from 1 species